UUUCGUACGCCAACAGAACAGAAUAGCGCCAGGCGACAGCCGACAACCGACGCAGCAGCAAGUCAAACGCGCUGGAUGGAUGGAGUCUUGUUCAGGCAGAGUCAAGUUUACUCAGUCAAUUGUCGAGUCAGUUUAAGUUUGGCAACGUUCGUAGUUGGACGUGUGUUUUUGUGUAACGGAAUGUUAGGGCAACUGCGCCGCGCUCAACCACAGUUUGGAAUGUUGACACUCUGUUUGAUUUCGUUAAAUACCUACUAAAUGUAUAAGAUACAAAUUGUAAAUUUUGUGUGUGGAUUUGAAUAAUUAUUCUAAAGUGCGCUUUUAAAUGCUAGUGGCAGUGUAACGCCAUUUGCCAUUGAAUUCGAUAAACGCUGUGUGGUGUGGUGGUGACGCAGCGUAAAAAGGUGUUGCAAGACAUUGGUAGCAACAGCCACCGAGCGAGUUAUGUACGUACUAUAAACUCUAAAUCACCACAGAAGCAGUGUUUUGCCUGCACUUCAAGGUAAAAAAUCCCAGCAAGCCAAUUUUUAUUGCAGCCUGCAUGUGACUGACUGAUAUUUUAAGAGCUGAGAAACUUAUUAGACUCAAUGAAACAUUUUAAAUAGAGAGAUACUGCAAAACUCGCACAUGAUAUCUACGAGUAUCAAUUGUACAUAAAUGCAAAGCUAAAAGAUUAAAGGAAAUGCUCCAAGGAAAAUGCCACAACUCCGUGCAGCUUAGCUAAUAAUUUUCAAUACGCCCUUUACUUAAUGCCAAUGAAGUGCACAAAUAGAAUGCACAACGCUAAUAAAUUCAAUUCAAUGCAGCAUGCGCAGCACGCCCACGCAACGCAGAAUCGCCACGCAUCAUUGGCAGACAAACAAACACACCCGUAGUGCAUUGACUGCCAUAUCGCGCAUAGUAAUUGAAGCGAAGCCACGGAAAUAAUCCUAUCAGCAAGCGAACGGUAAAUACACACACACACACAGGCAUUAGCAAAUCAAGCAACUAACGCAAACAAGUCACCAACUAGUAUUAACGUACAUAAACGUCCGUCCGUCCAUGCGCGCGCUGUUUGCAUUGGCAAGUUAUUACAGCGACCAGAACAACAACAGCAGCAACAACAACUAAUAUCCGAACUACUGCUGGGCGGCAGCUCAAUCACGGAAGUAACAAACGCAAAACGCGCUCCUUCUACUUCCGCGCCAAGCGUCUCCACAUCCGUUUGCUGCUGUGCUGCUGUCCUGUUAGACUCGCGCGCCAGCUAGCGCAUAGCGAGAAGGAGUAAUCGAAAAGAAAAAAAAAACAAAGCAAAAAAAAACACACACGAUAGGUGGCUCCAAAAAUAACGCUUGCCAACGCGGCCAAAGAAGAAAGUAUAGCAACAAAACGCGCAAAGUCUGUACAAACUUGCAUUAAGUGUCAGCGUGUUGGCCACGGCCAGGUCGUUGGAAGUAGCGUUAAAAAUCCCAUAGCCUCGCCACGCAUACAUACAAACACAGUUUGGCCGGAAACCGCGAAAACUAAACUAAUUUUCAGCUUACGCAAAAGUCUCCCACAGCGCGCGUCGUCACAUUUUUCUUACUCAAUGUUUCCUGUUGCCGCUGAGACGACCGCAAAUACCACCACAACUAGCAACGCUUGCAUGCAUUUCUUUCUAGCGAAGAGCGAAUAGGCGGCGGAGUGUUGCAUAGUUAGGACGGACAGCCAGCAAGUUACAGAGUUAGAAAGUGUUGCACACUGGUAGGUAAUUGUGGCAGUUGCGCCCACACAUACACACACAAGCGACUGUUUUAUCAGUACAAGUACACGCGAUCGCAGCGUAACUAACUAAAACUAAAAAAAAAAAUAUGUACUUGAAUUAACAAAAACAACAGCAAACUACAAAACCAACAACUUGAGCGAAAUAAUUCAACGCCAAUGACAUCAUAAGUACUGGCAAUGCAACAAGAAGGACUCGCCCCAUACAAGGCUGCAACUGUUUAAAUGUGCACACAUCUAUGUACUUAGUAUAUAUUAUACGUAGCUACAUAGUUAGUAAGUAGUCAAGUGUGUGCAGUUGUAAAAACAAAAACUAAAAACUGAAAACAAAAAAAAAAACAAAAAUUUAAGUGCCGCCAGCUCUUCUAUACUUACUUACUUCUAAGCACUUGAAGAGCAACGCCUCAUAAGGUCCACCGUAGCGUCCAACGCAGCACUUUGAACACUUUCGCGCAGCCAGUUAGCUCGUCCAUUCGCUGGUCGUCCGUUUUGGUCAUAAUGUCGUAAUAACUGUCACCACUGUUUGGUUAAGUGCGAACCAGCUACAUACAUAGAGCAAAAAACAUAUGUACGUAUGUACUGAAAAGCGGCGGCCACGGUGUCUAAGCGCCACCAUUUAAGGACGCGUAAUGUAGCCCAAGCAACGUAACGCACUAAGCACAACUCAAGUGUUGAAAUGCUAUAAAGAAGCUGAACCGAGUCCAGGGCACAAGUCAAGCAGCCAAGCAGGCAGACAGGCAGGCAGGCAGGCGGCCGGCUUCAAAAAGGAAAGUCAUCGUUAGUGGGUGCUAUUGCAUUUGCUUCAUUUUUUUUUAAUUUGACGGAAAUUGUGUUGAAUUAGUGUGUGCGGCAUAAACGACCGAGCAGCUGAAAAA